ensembl:snRNA U5 U5 spliceosomal RNA
AGCUCGAGUUUCUCUUCAUUGUCGCAUAAAUCUUUCGCCUUUUACUAAAGAUUUCCGUGGAGGGGAACUUUUGCGAGUGAUCUGUAUUAUGUCAGCUAACUUCUGGUUAC